AUUGAACGCUGGCGGCAGGCUUAACACAUGCAAGUCGAGCGAGAAAGGUCUUCGGACUGAGUACAGCGGCGGACGGGUGAGUAAUGCGCAGGAAUCUACCUGGUAGUGGGGGAUAACUCGGGGAAACUCGAACUAAUACCGCAUACGCCCUACGGGGAAAGGACGGGGACCGUUCGGGCCUCGCGCUAUCAGAUGAGCCUGCGUAGGAUUAGCUUGUUGGUGAGGUAAAGGACUCACCAAGGCGACGAUCCUUAGCUGGUCUGAGAGGAUGAUCAGCCACACUGGAACUGAGACACGGUCCAGACUCCUACGGGAGGCAGCAGUGGGGAAUAUUGCGCAAUGGGCGAAAGCCUGACGCAGCCAUGCCGCGUGUGUGAAGAAGGCCCUUGGGUUGUAAAGCACUUUCAAUUGGGAAGAAAGGUUGCGUGUUAAUAGCACGUAGCUGUGACGUUACCUUUAGAAGAAGCACCGGCUAACUCCGUGCCAGCAGCCG
rnacentral:rRNA from 1 species